AAAAUAAUUAAUAACUAUCAAUACAAUACAAAAUUCAAAAUUGUGUUGCUAUUUUUAAUAUAUUAUAAUAAUAAAAUAUGGAAAUAUUUAAGCUAUUAUAUGAGGAAAAAUAUAAUGACGUUAGCCGCGUAAUCUGCGCGGGCCAUCAUGCUAGUUUGUCAAAAAGCAAGUGAAAAAUUCAUCCAAGUUUUGAAAGUGAGGGAGAUAAAAAACGACCCCUUAAAGAGAGAUUUGAUAAUUUAACUCUUCUUAAACGAGCGUCACUUCGAUUAUUUAAUAUCUUGAUUCACUUUCAUUCACUCGGAUAGACCCACGUAUCAUGCUUAUAAGUGUUAAUUAAAGUAAAUUGACCAUAAAAAAAGUUAAAUUAUUAAAUUUAUCCUCAGAGUCAUCAGAAACGAAACUAGACCAAUUUAACGGAGGCCUAACUUGGGCCCAAAUCAAGCCCAUAGAUAAUGAGAUGGGCCUGUGGGGCCCACUAAGCACUAGGAGCGGAGGCAAGAGACUCUCCGCGCACAUGACGCCUUCGUGUGCUUUGGACUCCUUUCCCCCGCCGCCGCUGCCUCUUGCCCUCUCGUCUCCGGCCACCAGUCCACUGCGACUGCUUGACAUGGCCUCGGCGCCGUCGGCCUUCAUCGGCAACCACAAGGUCAGUUACCUACCUCCGGUCAAUGGCAUUGAGGUCUCCGUAGAGCAAGCGGUGCCGUCCUCUUCUCACAUUUCGGCUGGCGCUGAAACCUAACAUAACCUGGAUCCAUGGCAGCGGCGUGGGCGUGGUGCCCUGUGGAAUAGGAGCUUGUGUGUUUGUGCUCCCAGCAAAGUGGGGUGAGGGAUGUGUGGUGUUUUGGAUUUCGGGGGGGGGGGGGGGGUGGGAGGGGGAGCCGUCGCCCAUCAGGUUCUCCUCGUGGGCGUGAGCUUUCAUUCACAUGUGGUGUACCGGUGUGGUGUAGCCACAGUCGGAGUGGGUGAUCUCCGAGAUAGGGUCUGUUUGGUUGUCUGCGGAUUGAGAAUGUGCAUACUGCAGCUGGUUGAAUCCGUCAGAUACCAGAGCGACAUGCGUGUUUCAGUGUUUGUCUUGCCUUUAGGGUUUAGCGGUUGAUACUGAUGAAAUGAGAGUCUGAUCCUAGAGAUAGCAUGGCCUGCAGGAGGUCAUUUGUAGCGGGUUGGACACCACGGGCAGUGGACGAGCUGUUAGCUUUUUGCAAACGUGUAGUACAUCCGUUCACGGUAGAGCCAGUUAGGCCAGUUAGGUUUAGUAUAUAGAGAUUCACAGCAGUCCUUGAUGAGGGCUAACUUCAUGAGUUGUGAAAUUCUACAGUUAUAAUAACUAAUAAACAGUGGUGUGUGAUGGAUUAAGAUGGCGUAUUGACUGGCAAAUACAAUUAUACAACAGUAGAUUAUAUGCCUUUGCUAUGAAUUGUGAUUCGGCUAGUGUAUUCAUCCUGCCAAUGAUUCCUCAUGAUACCCAAAAAAUUAGAGGGCAUACAGAAUCUGCACUGACAUGCUGAUUGCAUGGUCAAAAAUUAAGUUUUUCUGAUUAUUUCAUUAUUGCAGCAAGCAGCCUAUCUGUGUUUAUAUUGUACUGAGCGAAGUAAGCUGUAUACAUUUGUUUUUCUUGAAAAGGAAUGAACUCUAUAAUUGAAAUAUCUAGAUAGCUAGCCAAUAUGAAUCCUGUUCUACAUCUACCCUAUUGUUUCGGUCUCUUAGUUUGGAAUUACAUUAAUAAGAUUUUUGAGUUUCAACCUACUAAAUUUGAAGUACUGGUACUGAUAGUGCUGUUGUUUGAACUGAGCAAAAAGCACUUGCAGACUUGAGAAGAAUCAAUUUAGAUGGUUUGAGAUGGUGUGUAUUUGACGCAAAGGGCCAGGUCCUUGGACGGUUGGCGUCCCAAAUAGCUGUUGUGCUUCAGGGCAAGGACAAGCCAACUUAUGCACCACAUGUGGAAAACAGAGACAUGGUUAGAUAUACACUUAUGUUAGCAAACACUUGGAUCUUUUCGUGAACUAUAAGGAUGGUUGUGACUUGCGAAGGGUCUUGCUUCGUAUGUACCCUGUAUGCUUUUAGGGUCUGGUUUCUGCAGUGCCUUUGCUGAACUAGUGAUCUGCUUCUAUAUCUUACAAUUCCUCUAUGUGGUGGGGAUUUUCAUGAGAACUGUUUAUAUUGAAUAUCAAGUUCAACAUACCAUAAAAUCCAACCAUUUCUUCUUGGUUUCAUAUUCAACAUGAAAAUUGUAUACUGAUAUUUAUGGUGUUUCUUUGUUAUAUGAUUUAAUUCUGUUUUGUCUGAGAAAUCAAGUUUUUUCCUCUCUGGUAUAAUCAAGUGUGGUCAAAAAUGUAUAUUUUCCUACAAUUCUCAUCUUCGAAUUGUUAAAGUAGCUUCAUAUAACGCUGUUAUUGCUUAUUAAGCAUGUACUGUUCUGAUCACAGGACAGGGAUCGUAAAUUGAGGAUAUUUUCUGGAAAUGAGCACCCAUUCCAUGAUCGCCCUCUUGAACCUUUUGUGAUGCCACCACGCCAAGUGCAGGAGAUGCGUCCCCGGGCAAGACGUGCAUUGUUAAGGGCGCAGAAGAAAGAGCAGGACAGAGCAGCGGCAUCAACCAAAGAUGAUGAAAAUGCUAAGAAUGCCAAAUCCGAGAUCACUGCAUAGAUGCACACUCAGAUGUGUGUUGUGUGGGUGGAGAUUGUUACUACUCCUAUAUUGCAAGUCUACCUGUUGCUGUUUUUUAAAGGAUCCAUGUAUCUUUUAUUUCUUUGACAUGUAGCCUGCUGGAUUCAAUAGACAGUAGAAUCAUAUAACCUGGAAAUGAGCAGCUCAAUCUUAGUGUCUUUUUGUGUCUCACAGUAUGUAACUCAAACCUGGUGUCGCUAGGAAUGAAAUCCAUCUGCUUUGAUUUCCUCUGCUGUUGGUCAGUACAACUGUACAAGAUUCCCAUCAUAAUAUGUUCCUUGGAAAUGCUGGAAAUUCCUACGAAGUUUUGGAUUCAACUUAUCUCGAAAACGAAGGUUGAUUCAUGGAAAUGAGGCUAAAAUAUGUUGAAAACAAUUGUUAGUAAUAUACUAUAGUUUAGGGGAAAAAGAGAAAAGUUUCAUAGUGGCCCAAAACUUGUCAGGCCAGUCCAAUGCGCCAUCAAGGCCUUAAACCCUAGAAAGCAAGUAAGAAACCUUUCGCCUCCCAUCUCGACUCGACCAGUGAUGACUCUGCCUCCACACGUUACAGCUACCAAGCCGCCGCCGCCGCCGACGAUGAUGAGGAGAGGUGGCGGCGUUCGGGAGCUCGUGCUCUCCUCCUCCUUCGCCCCUCCAUCCACAGGCCUCUCCCGCCGCCGCCGCCACCACCGCCAUCUCCACUUUGACCCUUAACCAGAGCGCUACCACCUCCGCGCCCCCUCUCCCGCUUCCUCUCGUCCCCGGAGUCCCUGCCAGAUGCCACCGGUGGCGCUGCUUCCUCAUCCUCUGAUCCCACCGUAUACAAUUAUACAACAGUUAAUAAAGCACUUGCAGGCUUGAGAAGAAUCAAUUUAGAUGGAUUGAGAUGGCGUGUAUUUGACGCAAAGGGCCAGGUCCUUGGACAGUUGGCGUCCCAAAUAGCUGUUGUGCUUCAGGGCAAGGACAAGCCAACUUAUGCACCACAUGUGGAAAAUAGAGACAUGUGCGUUGUGCUUAAUGCAAAAGAUAUCAGUGUUGCAGGAAGAAAAAUGACCGAUAAGAUCUACUAGCAUAUUGGCCAUUUGAAGGAAUGAAGACUCAAGGACCACAUGGAAAAAGACCCAACUGAAGUAAUUCGCAAAGCUGUCAUGCGCAUGCUUCCUCGCAAUAGAUUGCGUGAUCUACACUUGAUGUAAACCAAGUUAAUGGAUUAUGUCUCAGCAUGAACGAUCAAACAUAUCUUGGUCUAAUUACGUGCAACCGUGCUAGGAAAAUACAUCAAGAGGUGAACUCACUAUUUACUCAUCUUAACCCAAAUUUUAGUGAGAAUUUUAUACUACCUAAAUGCUUUAUCCUUGUAUUGCUAAGGUUUACACCUGAGGAUAUCAUCACUACGUCAAGAAGGAUGAGUUACGUUGAGGACGACAAGGGUUAUGCCGAGGAGGAAUCAACCCAUGCCCAACCAGCAGCUGUCUAUGCUAACAAGAAGAUGGUUUACGUUGUAAAGACUCAACUUCCAAGGCUUGUGCGACCUAGCCAAUCAAGUGACGGAUUGCAUGGCAUACAUUGUUGGAAAGAGGGACAAGUCUAGUUUCCAACGCAUCAAAUCCUACCUCAAUAUCUUUAUCCAAUAAGAAGUUAUAGCAUUUUUAAUGAAGGCUGGGCAGGAAAGAGGGACAAGUCUAGUUUCCAACGCAUCAAAUCCCACCUCAAUAUCUUUAUCCAAUAAGAAGUUAUAGCAUUUUUACUGAAGGCUGCGCAGGAGCUGAAGGGCUAUGCGCGAACCCGAGAAAAACACUUUGCCUUCUCAUUUAUGUUAGCCUUGACCACCAGAACGUGGCUUCUUAUGUUCACACCUAAGCUAGGAGGGAUGUUCCUAAUAAAAAUACCCCUCUAUUCCUUCCAUUAGAGAACUUUUAUUCAAUUGAAAACCUCAUGUAUGCAUAAGUGUCUUACCCCUUUGUUCU